CUCAUGGCGACACAGUUUCCAGAAGACCUAGGUUUAUUGCUGGGACUUGGUGCUUGCACUCUGAAUCCAGUGCUCCUGGAGGCCAUCUUUUUUCCCCCCAUUGUUGUUGUUGCUAUUAUUGUUGUUGAAUAGGACAGAGAGAAAUUGAGAGAGGAGGGUAAGAUAGAGAGGAGGAGAGAAAGAUAGGCACCUGAAGACCUGCUUCCCCACUUGUGGAGAGAACCCCCCUCCCCAUCUGUAGGUGGGGAGCCGGGCAUUAAAACCGGGAUCCUUGCACCAGUCCUUGUGCUUCUCACUAUGUGUGCUUAACCCAGUGCAGUACUUCACAGCCUCAAGACUCCUCUUUUAUACAGAUAGCAAAUGUAUUCCAUGUUGUAGUGGGGAGUGAGGGUGAGAGACUGAAAGAGCCUGGUGAUUCACUCUAAACCAUUCUGAGUUGCUAUCUGUUGCCUAAUUCAUGAUUCUAACUUGCUUAACCUUUGGAUUAAGUCUUCUUCAGGUUUUGACUGUGUUUCAUGCCUGGAUUUUCCACUUAUUGUAUAAUUUCUGACCAUAUCUCUCUUUAUGAUGUAAUCCACUUUCAAUUAAUAUCUUGACAUUCAAAGUGGAAACAGCAGCAUUGACACCACCUGGAAACUUUUUAGAGCUGUAGAUUGCUCAGGACCCAUCCAGUCUUACUAAAUUGAAAUCUGCAUUUUAAUGCCAGAGGCCUCGGAGACUCUAAAGACCUGUACUUAAUUCUUGGUACCAUCAUUUUCCAGAAAUGAGCAUUGCUCUGAUCUCUCCCUCUCUCAUUAACAAUAAGUAAGUUAUAUAAAGUAAAAAGAAGUCCAGGUCAAGGAGAUAGCUCAGUCUUCUAGAGAGCCAAUUUGCAAGCCUGAGACUACAAAGUUCCCAGCUACUAUUCCAGGUCCCAGAAUACCAUUUUAUGCCAGAGUUAAGUAAGCAGUGUUCUGUUUCUCUUUAUCUCUCACUUUUUUAUAUUCUCUCACAUAAUAAGUACAUCCUUUAAAAGUAUUGCAAAUAAGUGAAAAUAGAAUCUGAAUUUUAAUAAUAUUCCUAGUUAUUUGAUUAGUUACACUUAAGGACUACUAUUUGGGGUGUAGGGGCAUUCAGGUCCUGGUGCACAAUGGUGGAGGAGGACCUAGGUGUGGUUUAGAGUGUUUUGCAGAAAAUUGAGAAAUUUCAAAACAACAAGGGCAACUAAAGGAGGGAAAAAGCAAAAUUUUAAAAAAGAAAGUCUCCCAGUCCUGGAACCUUAGGGUGGAGCCCAGUUUCCUACAUGCUGCUCUCAAUUCAAAUCAAAUAAUAUUGCAUCCGCUGAUCACAAUCUAAUCAACGCAACGAGUGCCACCACAACAUGCUUCACUUCAGACUGUGUCCAGAGACUUCAGGUGUGGAAUGACAACCCUUCAGCUUCAUCACUCGGCCACCAGGUUCCAGAUGCCAACAAGAUGCUGACCAGACUUCCCUGGACGACCCCAUCAAUGUGUACUGGAGCUCCGCUUCCCCAGAGCCCCACUCUACUAGGGAAAAAGAGAGGCAGACUGGGAGUAUGGAUCGACCAGUCAACGCCCAUGUUC